rnacentral:rRNA from 1 species
GAUGAACGCUGACAGAAUGCUUAACACAUGCAAGUCAACUUGAAUUUGGGUUUUUAACUUAGGUUUGGGUGGCGGACGGGUGAGUAACGCGUAAAGAACUUGCCUCACAGCUAGGGACAACAUUUGGAAACGAAUGCUAAUACCUAAUAUUAUGAUAAUAGGGCAUCCUAUAAUUAUGAAACCUAUAAGCGCUGUGAGAGAGCUUUGCGUCCCAUUAGCUAGUUGGAGAGGUAACGGCUCACCAAGGCGAUGAUGGGUAGCCGGCCUGAGAGGGUGAUCGGCCACAAGGGGACUGAGACACGGCCCUUACUCCUACGGGAGGCAGCAGUGGGGAAUAUUGGACAAUGGACCGAGAGUCUGAUCCAGCAAUUCUGUGUGCACGAUGAAGUUUUUCGGAAUGUAAAGUGCUUUCAGUUGGGAAGAAACAAAUGACGGUACCAACAGAAGAAGUGACGGCUAAAUACGUG